rnacentral:rRNA from 1 species
UCUGGACUGUAACUGACGCUGAGGCUCGAAAGCGUGGGGAGCGAACAGGAUUAGAUACCCUGGUAGUCCACGCUGUAAACGAUGAUUACUAGGUGUGGGGGGACUGACCCCUUCCGUGCCGCAGUUAACACAAUAAGUAAUCCACCUGGGGAGUACGGCCGCAAGGUUGAAACUCAAAGGAAUUGACGGGGGCCCGCACAAGCAGUGGAGUAUGUGGUUUAAUUCGAAGCAACGCGAAGAACCUUACCAGGUCUUGACAUCGUAUGCAUAGUCUAGAGAUAGAUGAAACCUCUUCGGAGGCAUAUAGACAGGUGGUGCAUGGUUGUCGUCAGCUCGUGUCGUGAGAUGUUGGGUUAAGUCCCGCAACGAGCGCAACCCUUACCUUUAGUUGCUACGCAAGAGCACUCUAAAGGGACUGCCGUUGACAAAACGGAGGAAGGUGGGGAUGACGUCAAAUCAUCAUGCCCCUUAUGACCUGGGCUACACACGUACUACAAUGGCAAUUAACAAAGAGAAGCAAGACGGUGACGUGGAGCGAAUCUCCAAAAAUUGUCCCAGUUCAGAUGCAGGCUGCAACUCGCCUGCAUGAAGUCGGAAUUGC